CUCGCUCUUUCCCUCUAUCUUUUACAUUGUGAAACUUUGACUAAUCUUUUGCUGCAGAAGGCAACCUUGUCUGUGGAGAUAAAGAGUUGUCCUGCAAAUUGGACAUGCUGUAGUCAAUAAAUAGCAUUCAGAAGUUUUAAGAACUUUUAACCUUCUGUACUCUUAAUUUUCUGGCUAAAAACUUUUCUAAUCCUGCCUAACAGGAUAAUCUUCCCGCCCGAACUCAGCUUAGAGUUUCAGUUUUUCUUGUGGCCUAGUCUCACUGCAAUUGUCGGUAAAAUAAAAUAAAAUCUUCUCUUUUUAUUGGUAUCCAAAAAAGAUGCAAGGUUUUCCCCCUCUGGCACCUUACAUAUAUAUUAAAAUAAUCAAGUUCAUGUAGUUAAUGUAUAUAUUCAGAUCAUGUUUAGGAAGUAAUUACUGUGCUCUCUGACUCUAUGUGCAAAACUUCCUGUUCCUGUGACAAGCUUGUCUGUCCUGAAAUUUUCUCAUUUAUCUGCAUGUACAGCAAAGAACAUUGGUAAAAAUCACCUUCUAAGUCAAGUAUGCAUAAAUUGGUACUGGAACAAUAAAACUGAACUUAUCCGUAGAAUAAGAGGGAUGCUUACUCUGAUUGAGUCUGGAGUUCGUAUCAAAAAGUUGAUUAUAGGACUGGAUAUCGUGAUUAUGGUCCGUUAAGAGGUUGAGCUUAUUAGAAUAUACCAAC
rnacentral:lncRNA from 1 species